UCGAAACCGAAAGUUAACUCAAAAGGAAAAUGCCAAGAUUCUGAAGACUUAAAAACUCUCAUAAACAUCAAAUUAAGGUCUGAAGUCAGUUUCUGAUAAUGGAGAACAGAGAGAGUGAGAGAACUUCAUCUCCUGAUCCCAGCUGUGUGUCUCUGAAGAGUGACGGAUCCAUACGUGAUCCUCCUUUUAAUUUCAGUGAUGAACCAGUGACCUCUGACCCCAGUUUCUGGAGUCAGAGAUCUUCAUCUGCAGAUCCCAGCUGUGUGUCUCUGAAGAGUAACAGAUCCAUUAAUCUUCCUCCUGCAUUCAGUGAUGAAGGAGUGACCUCUGACCCCAGGUGAG